rfam:Pisolithus microcarpus 441 unplaced genomic scaffold scaffold_75, whole genome shotgun sequence.
AGCAACAUGGCGCAGAGGAAGCGCGCGGGGCUCAUAACCCCGAGGUCACUCGAUCGAAACGAGUUGUUGCUA